AUGGCCGCCGCCCGCGCCGCCCUCCUCCGCCGCCACGGCCUCGGCGCCGCCGCCACCAACCCCGUCCUCUUCUCCGGCCACGGCCUCCGCUACCGCAAGCUCGAGGUCAUCCUCACCACGACGAUCGACAAGCUGGGGAAGGCGGGGGAGACGGUGAAGGUGGCGCCGGGGCACUUCCGCAACUACCUCAUGCCCAAGAUGCUCGCCGUCCCCAACAUCGACAAGUUCGCCAUACUCAUGCGCGAGCAGAGCAAGCUUUACAAACGCGAAGUGGAGGUGGUUGUCAAAGAAGUCUCAAAGGAGGAGGAUGAUGCUCGGCAAGCGGAAGAGAAACUGAAGCAGUGUCAAGCAGCAGCAAAACGGCUCGAUAAUGCUCUCUUGGUGUUCAGACGGUUCAUCUCCGAAGGGAUCGAGUUGCGCUCUCCUGUAACGAAGGAUGAAAUUGUUUCUGAGGUGGCGAGGCAACUCAACGUCAACAUUUACCCAGACAAUUUACACCUGGUGUCACCAUUGUCAUCCCUCGGAGAAUUUGAGGUGCCACUUCGCUUACCGAGGGAUAUACCACGCCCAGAAGGCAAGCUACAAUGGACUCUCAAGGUCAAGAUCAGGAGACCCUAA
rnacentral:rRNA from 1 species